CUGGUUGUAAAAAGAUUUACAGAACUUGCAUGUCUUUUUUGAGAUGCAGAAUUUAAACAAUGAUUAAUUCUGAUUAAAAACAACAAUUUCUUUGACAUCUCGCUAAAUUUUUUCGCGAUACAUUGACAGAGGUCAUGUUCAAGGCCAAACAACAAAUUCGACGAAAUACUUUCUGGUCAGUUACUACCAACGACGAACGAUGUAAACAAAUUACAUAAUGCGAAAUUAAUUAUUAAUCGCAAUUGAUGAAGUGAAAGGCUUGGUGAUCGACAACCUGGUGCCUCUCGAUGAAAAAGUGUGCGAUUUUUCUCGAGAGAGAUGAAUUAUGGCACGUGGUUCGCGUGUCAAAAAAUGUCAAAGUACGAAGAUUAUUUUUGUGAAUUCAUCAAAAAAGAAUAAAUUAAAUUAAAUUCAAUAAAAGAAUUCGACAUUCUUAUC